CUAAACAUAAACUCCUUUCAUGUCAUAAAAAGAGUAUGACCCUUUAUUCUCAAGUUCCGGAGACACCAUUUAAGGAAACAUACAUCUAUUUACCUCAAGGAGAGAAUCAUAGGUCUUAGUGUUGAGCUUGUUGCGAAAUGAUGUGAGCACGCGGUGCUUGUGAUGCUUGUUGGGAUAGUGAUUUUAUUCAUGGUUGUCAAGCAUUGAAGUCAUCCGAAGGUUGAUUCUAAGGUGUUGUAGCCUAGUUAAGAAGGGAAAGCAUAGUUGUUUUGUAGUCUUACAUGGCGUGCUAGCCUUGGCUUCUCAUCAUACGCCUAAGGAGCCAGUUGGUAAGCGCAUUGCUCCCUUAGCGUGGAUGAGAAAGCUUGGUGGAAAGGCGAGAGCAAUAACCAGGUUAGUGAGGCCUAACUCGAUGAACUAGAGAGCAAAAGAGUUGAAGAGCUGAGGUGGGGGAAAGAAGGUCUGAAGCUUUUCCUUAAGUUGGAUUGUCUAAGGGAGAAGGAUGAGAGGAAAGCUUCACACUUCUAAGUACCACAUCUCAAGAAGCAGCAUUAGGUGGUGGAAAGAAGAAGGAUGUGAUAAAACCAAACUUAGUUUUAUUUCUUGCACAAUGAAGUUUAAGAGUUGUAAUUUGUAUCUUGUAACUUCUGCAAGUGUUAAGUUAAUAAGAAUAAGAAGUUAAGUUAUUUCUGUUGUUUUAUUGUAUUUCCUUGAGUUGUUGCCUAAGAGGUUAAAAUUAAGUUGUGCUUGUAAAAGUGUUAGGUGCAAAGCUAAUUGUUGAAGAGUUAUUUUUUUGUUGCAAAAGUUGUGAAGGUCUCUAAGGCUCAAUGAAAAAGCUUUGCAAAGAGAAAAGAAGGAGAAUUGUUUUACUUUCUAGGUGUUCGACGUGUCAUCUCAUAGAGAGAUAUGCAAUGAAUGUCUAGGCAGCACAUCCUCCACUUGGUCGCAUGGUGUGACAUUUGAGGUAGGGCGUAAUAAAUACCCACCAAAGGUGGGCUGGAAAAAGGUAAAUGGCUUGGUUGAGAGAAGAGACGCGGCAUGGCUUGAAAAGAAGGGAAAAACGUGUGCGACUUGUGUAGCUUAGACAGAAACAGAGAUCGACACGAACGGAGGGCGUAGUUCAGUCAAGUACUUGUUCGACUAGGCGCGACUAAAUCAGCUUAGAUGAAGGAAUAUGGCGUAGAUGAGGAGGUUUGCGUAGAGAAGACUGGUUGCUCUGACUAACGAACGACUCGGAGUUUCGUGCAGUCUUCGAUGUAGAACAUCCUUCAGCUUGUUGAAACGAGGGGAUCAACGACAAAGGACUUGAUGGCGAAGCUCGACUGACAACGGCGACAAUGUCAUUGUUGUGAGUAGGGCUUCUAUGGUGAAGGAGAAGAUGAAAUGACAUGCUAUACGAAUCACCAUUUAUAAGAUUAAAUAAUAAUAGUUAUAAUAUUAUGCUUCAGUUUCCAUUUCCUGUUUCUUUUUUCCCUUUUCCUUUAUGAUUAAAAACCAAACUUCUUCUCUUUCUUAAUAAAUCCAAUCA